AAUUAAGAAGAGAGAGACAUCAAAGAUGGAGCUGUGUUUAGCUUCUCGCUCAUCAGAGACCUUACCCGGCAGAGCUGCUUGAGGGGCUUGCUGCCAUGCGGUUUUGCUCAAAAUAGCUAGAGCACACACGUGAUAGGUGGAAAUCUCUUGCUUCUUGGCUUGAUUUGGUUCAGUUUUUAUUACUGAUUUGGUUUGUUUGCAGGGUCGCUUUGGUUUACAGGGAGGAGAGGCUGAGGCUGAUGCUUCUAGAGUUGGUGUACGUUGCGUAGAGAGAGAGAGUUUCGGUGGAGCAAAGCAGAAAGGAGUUCAGUGCGAAGGAGAAUAGGAGGGAGGAGAGAUCUGGACGCACCAAGACAAACAAGCGAGCUGAUCAUGCCGCCAACCUUGUUCUGUGCGGCUCGCUGGAGCCAGACGAUGAGUCCUUGCCUGCCUCUGGCCCUCCUAACAAUUGCUGUGAACCCUGUUAUGCGCCCUUGGCUGAUCAGCCAAUCUUACUAUACCUUUCCCCCUCCCGGGUCAUCAUGCUCAGGCCCUAGCUUGCAUCUUGUGAGUUUUAAUUAAUACUCCCUCCGUCCGGAAAUACUUGUCCUCGAAAUGGUUGUAUCUAGACUUAUUUUAGUUAUAGAUACAUCCAUUUUAUCCAUUUGUAGGACAAGUAUUUCCGGACGGAGGGAGUACAACAAAAUAUCGCACGUACUUUUGUUAGUUUACUUCACUUUUGCUAGCUUGUUGAUACUUUGCACAAAAUUGCUAGAGAAAUAGGCACAUCAAUUAAAUGAUUAUACAUAUAAGUCGAUGGUGGUAUUUUUUCAGAAAAAUUACAUGCAUUUCUAUGAUUCUCCAUUUUCCAGAUUCUUCCUGCAUUUAUGUGAUUAAUUGAAAUACCAUUCUAAAUGCAUUUGCUUACUAGGAUAAUUUAAAUUUCUGGAUAAAAUUUCACUGUAGUAUAUCUUUUGUCAAUAAAUAUAUGUUUUGCGUUUCAUGCUGUGCGGCAUAUUUUUCUUACAAACUAUUAUGUUACUGAAAAAAGUUGUUCAGGUAAUGAUGGUAUCUCACGUAGUGGUUAAUGGUGAUUUUUUAUUUCACCAUUUGUUCUUCCUCGAGUACCUGUUCUUUUUUUCACUCUGUUGUAAGUUGACGAUAUGCCCCUUUUGUGUGACACUUUUUCUUUCCUAUACAGGAAGGACUUGGCGCAGUUGUGACGUUAAUGAACAACACUCCAAUCAGGGACCACAGUGACCUCGGGGAGGAGAUCAAGAGAAUCAACAACCCUUGGUGGUUUUCCUCAUCAUCGGCACAACUGCAAUCAGCAACAAUGAUGACCAGCUCACAAGGCAGCUACUGAACCGUUCGAGCCUUGUUGCAAAGACAACAUGGAGACCGAGAGUGAUCCAGAGAGAGGGGGGAGACCGGGAGAGGGAGGAAGAGUGUUCGAGAGAGGGAAUGAGGGAGAGUGAGGAGGAAGAAACCUUGCAAGUACACAUUGGUAGGACAACCAUAUUCUAAAAUAAAAAAUGGGAUUUGGUGGCAAGCCAUCAUUGUCUUUGUUCCCGGUGUCUGUCACACACGAUAACUUUAAUGUCGAAUGCAUAAUGGAUGCAUUCUUAAAUUAUUUGAUUAUAGAAUUUUUAGCUCUUGAUAUUCACAUAUCAUUCUGAGAAACAUUUUUGGUUGAGAGAAGAAAAC
rnacentral:rRNA from 1 species